rnacentral:rRNA from 1 species
AUUGAACGCUGGCGGCAGGCCUAACACAUGCAAGUCGAGCGGAUGAAGGGAGCUUGCUCCUGGAUUCAGCGGCGGACGGGUGAGUAAUGCCUAGGAAUCUGCCUGGUAGUGGGGGAUAACGUCCGGAAACGGGCGCUAAUACCGCAUACGUCCUGCGGGAGAAAGUGGGGGAUCUUCGGACCUCACGCUAUCAGAUGAGCCUAGGUCGGAUUAGCUAGUUGGUGGGGUAAAGGCCUACCAAGGCGACGAUCCGUAACUGGUCUGAGAGGAUGAUCAGUCACACUGGAGCUGAGACACGGUCAAGAGUACUACGGGAGGCAGCAGUGGGGAAUAGUGGACAGUGGGCGAAAGCCUGAUCCAGCCAUGCCGCGUGUGUGAAGAAGGUCUUCGGAGUGUAAAGAACUUUAAGUUGGGAGGAAGGGCAGUAAGUUAAUACCUUGCUGUUUUGACGUUACCAACAGAAUAAGCACCGGCUAACUUCGUG